rnacentral:rRNA from 1 species
GAUGAACGCUGGCGGCGUGCUUAACACAUGCAAGUCGAGCGAGAAGUUUUGAAAAGAUUCUUCGGAUGAAAUUUAAAAUGGAAAGCGGCGGACGGGUGAGUAACGCGUAGGCAACCUGCCCCAUACAAAGGGAUAGCAUUUGGAAACGAAUAUUAAUACCUUAUGAAACUUAACUAGUGCAUGCUAGGUAGGUCAAAGAUUUAUCGGUAUGGGAUGGGCCUGCGUCUGAUUAGCUAGUUGGUGAGGUAACGGCGCACCAAGGCGACGAUCAGUAGCCGACCUGAGAGGGUGAACGGCCACAUUGGAACUGAGACACGGUCCAAACUCCUACGGGAGGCAGCAGUGGGGAAUAUUGCACAAUGGGGGAAACCCUGAUGCAGCAACGCCGCGUGAACGAUGAAGGCCUUUGGGUCGUAAAGUUCUGUUCUAGGUGAUGAAAACUGACAGUAACCUAGGAGAAAGCCCCGGCUAACUCCGUG